rnacentral:rRNA from 1 species
GAUGAACGCUGGCGGCGUGCCUAAUACAUGCAAGUCGAGCGAACGGACGAGAAGCUUGCUUCUCUGAUGUUAGCGGCGGACGGGUGAGUAACACGUGGAUAACCUACCUAUAAGACUGGGAUAACUUCGGGAAACCGUAGCUAAUACCGGAUAAUAUUUUGAACCGCAUGGUUCAAAAGUGAAAGACGGUCUUGCUGUCACUUAUAGAUGGAUCCGCGCUGCAUCAGCUAGUUGGUAAGGUAACGGCUUACCAAGGCAACGAUGCAUAGCCGACCUGAGAGGGUGAUCGGCCACACUGGAACUGAGACACGGUCCAGACUCCUACAGGAGGCAGCAGUAGGGAAUCUUCCGCAAUGGGCGAAAGCCUGACGGAGCAACGCCGCGUGAGUGAUGAAGGUCUUCGGAUCGUAAAACUCUGUUAUUAGGGAAGAACAUAUGUGUAAGUAACUGUGCACAUCUUGACGGUACCUAAUCAGAAAGCCACGGCUAACUACGUG